GACGAACGCUGGCGGCGUGCUUAACACAUGCAAGUCGAGCGGAAAGGCCCUUUCGGGGGUACUCGAGCGGCGAACGGGUGAGUAACACGUGAGUAAUCUGCCCCUGGCUUUGGGAUAGCCACCGGACACGGUGAUUAAUACCGGAUACGACGACUUCUCGCAUGGGAUGGGGGUGGAAAGUUUUUCGGCCAGGGAUGUGCUCGCGGCCUAUCAGCUUGAUGGUGAGGUAAUGGCUCACCAUGGCUUCGACGGGUAGCCGGCCUGAGAGGGUGACCGGUCACACUGGGACUGAGACACGGCCCAGACUCCUACGGGAGGCAGCAGUGGGGAAUAUUGGACAAUGGGCGGAAGCCUGAUCCAGCAACGCCGCGUGAGGGAUGACGGCCUUCGGGUUGUAAACCUCUUUCAGCAGGGACGAAGCGCAAGUGACGGUACCUGCAGAAGAAGCACCGGCCAACUACGUGCCAGCCGCCGCAGUAA
rnacentral:rRNA from 1 species